rnacentral:lncRNA from 1 species
CAUCCUCUUCUUGUAACUGACCGUAUUUUGAAAUGGCAUGCAGGUACAACUUUGAUCCAGUGAACGAGAAGCCCCUCCGUGGAUGCUAUGAAUGGGUGAAGAUCGAUCCUUAGACAUGGUCGGAAGAUGGAGAACUAGAUCAAUAGAAUGGACAUAUGGUUAUCGGCAUCCCAAGAAGACAAGUCUUAGCAUUUUCUUGUUUUUAUCUUUAGGUCUAGAAUCUAGGAAAACA